AAACAGUACGUGAAAUUGCUGAAAGGGAAACGCUUGAAGUCAGUCGCGUCGUCCGGAACUCAGCCUUGCUUUUGCUUGGUGCACUUUCUGGAUGACGGGUCAGCAUCGAUUUCGACCGUCGGAAAAGGGUUGGAGUAAUGUGGCACCUUUUGGUGUGUUAUAGACUCCGGUCGCAUACGACGGUUGGGAUCGAGGAACGCAGCGCGCCGCAAGGCAGGGGUUCGCCCACAUUCGCGCUUAGGAUGCUGGCAUAAUGGCUUUAAACGAC
rnacentral:rRNA from 1 species